rnacentral:lncRNA from 1 species
CGGGAGUGCGCACGAGGCUGCAAGUUCUCGGCAGCCCGGCUGGGCUCGGCUCCGGCCUAAGGCUGGGCACUCCGCUGCCGCUGCAGACUUGCAGGUGUGUCCUAAGAGCCUUGGGGUCCUGGAGGCUCCGCGAACCCUCGAGCUCCUCCGGGCUUGCCCAGUUCUUCCUGGCUCCUUCGUAGCUGUUCCAGUCCUAAGGAAACUCCUGGCUGUCGCGUUCCCCAGAGCCACGACUUUGUGGGGCCUAGGCUAGGGGGGAGGAGGAAUUCUGCCCAGACUCUCCAGCAGUUGGUAGCAGGCAAGCUUUCUCCUGUGUCGCCUGGAAAAGUUGCAAAAUUGCUCUUCACCUGUAAGAACAUGCAUUUUAUCUUCCAGUCUCUUCUUGUCAAUUUGGAAAUUGCAGACACCCCGGCUCAGACAUGAUGGCUCAGAUCAGUGCCAUGGUGGGAAGCAGCAAUGAUGGGGACUCCGAGCUGGCUUUUAUCAUUCUGUGUAGCAGAAGGAAUGACCUUGAACUUUGAGUCCUCUUCCCUCCAUCUCCCUACUGUUGGGAUUACAGGUCAUCUUUGCUUGCUGGGAAAAAGAAUCCUUAUGAGGAGAGCUUGUUUCCUGGAGAGAGAGGAGGCAACAACUGCCCUCUGAACUGACCCUUGUCUCAGAAAGAUGGCUACAAUGAACCCCAGGGAGGCGGAGAGCUGUGUGCAGAGGAGGUGUGGGUGAAGACAGAAGGAAGAUCCCUUAAGUGGGAUGACUUGUGUGGACCUCUGUGAAUCUCUUGCAAGCAGAC